CAAAGUAAUGCAUAUACUCAGCUAGGUGAAGUAUUCUACAUGCUCAUUAUUUUGAAAACAUGAUGAGAACGUUUUUUGAAUCCAUAAACUACAGCGUCUGGGUGCUCACUCAAAAAGGUCCUAUUCUCCAUAUAUAUGAUAUGGACCACACAAAAUCUUGUAGUAAGACUAAGAGGGACACUACAGUCAUCAGAACAAUAACAGCAUUAUGUAGUUUUUGUGUCUAUAGCCUGUCCCUGAAGGUUUAAUGUAAACAGUCAGUGUUUACAGGACAGCAUAGUAACA